rnacentral:tRNA from 1 species
GGAGGAGUGGCCGAGUGGUUUAAGGCGGCGGUCUUGAAAACCGUUGAUGUGAGAGCAUCCGUGGGUUCGAAUCCUACCUCCUCCGCCA